rnacentral:rRNA from 1 species
CGCUGGCGGCGUGCCUAACACAUGCAAGUCGAACGGGGAUGAUCGGAACACUUCGGUGCGAAGAUCAUUCCAGUGGCGGACGGGUGAGUAACGCGUGAGGAACCUGCCUCGAACUGGGGGAUAACAGCGAGAAAUCGUUGCUAAUACCGCAUAAGACCACAUGGCCGCAUGGCCAAGGGGUCAAAGAUUAUAUCGGUUUGAGAUGGACUCGCGUCUGAUUAGCUAGUUGGUGGGGUAACGGCCUACCAAGGCAGCGAUCAGUAGCCGAGCUGGGAGGCUGAUCGGCCACACUGGGACUGAGACACGGCCCAGACUCCUACGGGAGGCAGCAGUGGGGAAUAAUUGGGCAAUGGGGGAAACCCUGACCCAGCAACGCCGCGUGAAGGAAGAAGGUUUUCGGAUUGUAAACUUCUGUCCUUGGGGACGAAACAAAUGACGGUACCCAAGGAGGAAGCCCCGGCUAACUACGUGCCAGCCGCCGC